rnacentral:snoRNA from 1 species
GUUGCACACAGUUAGAGCCCUGCGCUGCUGGCGGUGCAUUGUGGGGUGUAGGAUGUGUGCUAAAACACUGCAGGGUCUCUGAUCUCUUCUUUCUGUUCUUCAUGAGAGCUGAGAAAAUGAAGAUCCUGCCACAAAU